rnacentral:rRNA from 1 species
AUUGAACGCUAGCGGCAUGCCUUACACAUGCAAGUCGAACGGCAGCACGGGUGCUUGCACCUGGUGGCGAGUGGCGAACGGGUGAGUAAUACAUCGGAACGUACCUUAUCGUGGGGGAUAACGCAGCGAAAGCUGUGCUAAUACCGCAUACGCCCUGAGGGGGAAAGCGGGGGAUCGAAAGACCUCGCGCGAUUAGAGCGGCCGAUGCCUGAUUAGCUUGUUGGUGGGGUAAAAGCCCACCAAGGCGACGAUCAGUAGCUGGUCUGAGAGGACGAUCAGCCACACUGGGACUGAGACAAGGCCCAGACUCCUACGGGAGGCAGCAGUGGGGAAUUUUGGACAAUGGGGGAAACCCUGAUCCAGCAAUGCCGCGUGAGUGAAGAAGGCCUUCGGGUUGUAAAGCUCUUUUGUCAGGGAAGAAACACCGGCUCUAACACAGUCCGGGAAUGACGGUACCUGAAGAAUGAGCACCGGCUAACUACGUGCCAGCCGCCGCAGUAA